CAUUAGUGGUGAGGACAUUGAGAGAGUAGUAGAUUAAAAUACUCCCAUGCUUUAUGUAUUGGCUCUCCGUCCAACUAUGAAAAUGUACAAAUCUUGUUCCCUAAGUC